rnacentral:rRNA from 1 species
GACGAACCACCCAAACGUUAUUCGGAAUUACUGGGCUUAAAGGGUGCGUAGGCGGUGCGGAAAGUUGGGUGUGAAAUACCUCAGCUUAACUGAGGAACGGCGCUCAAAACUACCGUGCUCGAGGGAGAUAGAGGUGAGGCGGAACUUAGGGUGGAGCGGUGAAAAUGCGGUUGAUAUCCUAAGGAACACCGGUGGCGAAAGCGGCUACACUGGAUCUACUUCUGACGCUGAGGCACGAAAGCUAGGGUAGCGAACGG